CCCCCAAGUAAUUACUGUAGAUUUCUUCAUAAAUUUUUUGAAGUACAUAAUCCAUGUCGGUUGGUCACAAGCAUUGAAGUAGAGGUAGUGAGAAUGACUUUUUUAUAGAAUCUCCCUUCCAAGUAGAUAUAUUUAGGAGCCUGACACUUAAUCCUCCAAGCUUUAGUAGGAUCGAUUAGCAGGACACCAUUGAGAAGGUAAUCGACCAGAUGGUCCAUUCAACUCGCUUCAUGGUCGAUCUAUUAGACAACUGGUUCUUC
rnacentral:lncRNA from 1 species